CUGAGCUCCACGGAACAAGCGCCGCGCCACACCACGCCACGCCACGCCACGCCACGCGUCUGAGCACGACCUCCCAAGCCCCGCUUCGGGACACUUCCGCCACUCCCUAAACCACGCCCCCGGAGGCGCCCUCCCUCCGGUCCUCGCCCCCCUCGACGCGCCUUCCCUCCAGUCCCCGCCCCUGAACAUGCCUUUCCAGAGCCCCGCCCCUGCCCGACCGCCUCACCCGCGCCACAGUCCAGGUGCGAGCCCACGUCUGAGACGCCGAAUCCGGCUCCUGAAGCCAGGACGAGUUCCCCAUCCAGCGGCAGGAGCUGCAAGAGACACGGGCUGAGGCGGCGCCACGCGGGGGUCCGGGCCUGCUCCGCGCCCACCCCGCCCCCAGUCCCCUGGGACGAGAAGCCGAGACCCUGUGCACGGAAGGAGCCCGGGCGAGCUCAGGCCCGGGGUCCUCGGCCUGGCUGAGGCUGGCAGAGGAAGCGGAUCUGGCCUGGGAAAGAUGGGGCCGCGUGGGCAAGGCCCCGAAGCGGGCACAGCCCAGUGUCCUGUCCCUGAGCUGGAGGUCUCACAGGCCAGGGGCAGAGCCGGAGCCGGGGAGCGAGACGGAGCCGUGGGGAGUCUGGGGCGGAGGUGACUCUGGCCAGGGCCUGUCGCCUCCCCCCGUAGCCCCUUGAGAACGUGCACAGGCCCAGGGCUCCCAGGUUCCAGGAACUAAAGUUUCGAAAGUUGCCCGGCUCCUGGGGAGUCUGAGGCCGCGCUCUUGGUGUGUGAGGGAGGGAGGGAGAGGCUGCAUCUGGCGGCCAGGGGUGCAGGAGGAGGCAGGGAGUGUAGCGGGGAGGUGGAGUUGCCCCUGCUGUUUCCUAUAGGCUUGGGCUGGGCCGUGCAGCUCCCGCACCACAGAAGUGGGGCCACAGCCCAAGUCUCGGGUGUCAGCAGAAAUACGGGGGGUCUGACUGGCCGCCCCUCACUCCCCCUCUCCUCCAAGUGCCAGGACCUCAGCCUCCUGCCUUCUUGCUUCUGCACUUCUCCCUCAGGGGCUGAGGGUGAGCGCUGGGCCAGGGCAACCCUUGCUGCCAGGUUGUGAGGGGCUCAGCACAGCAGGGCGCGCCCACCCGAGGCAGGACCCACUCUUCGGCCCUUCCAGGAGCACUGCACCUGAGCAAGAGGCCAACACCCCCAGCGACGUGAGGUCACACUUCAGUUCCGUGCACACCUGAGGGUGUGGCACUGCCAGCAGGGCAAGUCCCCCCACAGGUGCAGAGGUGGAGCCGUGGGGACGGAAUGUGUCAUAGCUCAAAGCGCCUCAGGAACAGGGAGGGGUUCCCAGGAGGAAGCAUACCAAGAACACCGUUUUUUAAAGAACGAAGGGGAAAAAUAGAAACGUAACAUAAUAGUUGAACAGACGAGCACAGUAGGUAAGGCCAGGAGUUUGAGAUCAGCCUGGUGAGAAACAUAGUGAGACUCCAUCUCUACAAAAAAUUUAAAAAUAAAAAGAGGAUAUAAUUUUUAAAUAUAGGGCAACAUUUAUAAUAGAAACCAAACUUAAGGCCAGGAGCGGUGGCUCAUGCCUGUAAUCCCAACACUUUGGAAGGCCGAAGCGGGCAUAUCACUCGAGCCCAGGAGUUCAAGACCAGCCUGGCCAACAUAGUGAGACCCCCAUCUCUACAAAAACUACAAAAAUUAGCCGGGCGUGGUGGCACAAGCCUGUAGUCCCAGCUACUCGGGAGGCUGAGGUGGGAGGAUUGUUUGCGCCCAGGGAGGUCAAGGCUGCAGUGAGCCGUGAUCACGCCAUUGCACUCCAGCCUGGGCAACAGAGUGAGACCCUGUCUCAAAAAAACAAACUUAACAAAGUAUUGAUGAAUUAACCAAUACAAUAUAAGACCUCUACAGGGAAAACUUUAAGAUGCUAAAGAGGCCAUGGAUGACCUGAAAUAUUUAGAGAGAGUCCGUCCAUGCUCUUGAAUGGAUGGCUUGACAGCAUAAGGCUGUUAUUUAUCCCAAUCAAAAUUCCUGUAGUCUCAGCUACUUGGGAGGCUCAGGCAGGAGAAUCGCUUGAGCCCGGGAGGCAGAGGUUGCACUGAGCCGAGAUCACACCACUGCACUCCAGCCUGGGUGGCAGAGCAAGACUCCAUCUCAAAAAAAAAAAAAAAAAAAAUCCAGGGUUUUUUUGGUGGUGGUGGUGGUAGUUGUUACCUGGCAAACCUAUUCUACAAUUUAUCUGCAACAAUGAGAUCCACAAAGAACCUUGGAGCAGGAGUGAAGGGGAUGGAUAUUAAGCCAUCCUGCAGAGCCACUGUGUGGAUAGUGUAGGGUCGGCAAAGCGGCCUGUGGACUUGAAGACAAGGCUCAGAGAGACCCACAACACCCAGGCACACGACGGAUUCCAGCAGUGCUAGAACAAAAGGGCAAGGCGGAGGAUGCUGGAAGCUGGGUUCACUCUAAGGAGAGAAACACAGCAGGAGCCCUCGCUGGUGCACGUGCCCCAUAGGUACACAGUCCAUUACCAUUGUGACUGAGGAGCAGACGCGAUUCUCAAACGAAACAGAAAAAACACAGUUCUAAGGUAAGGCGUUUUGCAUUAGGUCGAUUAAAAUGAAGGUUUCUGUUCAGCACAGGACACUGCAGGCAAGUCCACAGUGAGCAGACUUGCAAAGCCUCCAGCCAAGGCAGGGGGAUGGGUGAAAGACAGGAGACUCCCCCAACAAGAAAGCAGGCAAAAGGUAGAAAUGGGAGGAAGGGCAAGGAAAAGGAAAAUCGCAGGGAGGGACGCUCCCAACCACAGAAUUACAAAGUAAGGCACUGAUGUGCACGGCCUGUUACUCGGGCCUCAUCUAGGCAGAUGGAUGAAGCUGGGAGCCAGGGGUGUGGAGGGCAACAUAGCCGACGCGGGCAGGGGAUGGGGGUGCUUGGGCGGCUCUGGGUGAAUUCGGCCUCUGCAGGCUGGGACCCUGGGGCCACUGUCCCCUGCCCCUGCGCUGUUCCCACCGGCCAAUGGAUGAUCAAUGAAUGAAUUAUUGAAUAGAUGAAUGAAUGGAGUAUUGCCUCCUUUCAGAGCCCAAGUGCUUCCAAAGGAGAUCAUGAAAGUAAGGAGGCCGGCAGGGGAGGGGAGUAGGGGGAAAUCCAUGCCCUGGAACCCCCAGCCCAGCCUGACUCCUCUGCCCACAGGUCCCCCAUCAGCUCCCAGUGCCCCCCUCACUCGGGCUGCCUGGUUGCCAAGGUUAUGCGUGGGUUCUGGGGGCCGGGCCACAAGGGGCAACCGCCUCCCUCUCCCUGCCCUCCUCCUGUUUCCCGGGUGGGAGCGUCGCCAUCUUGCUGUGGGUGCCCUCCCCAGUGUGUGGCAGCUUUUGGGUUAAGGCAGCUUUGGAAAACCUGAAGGAAGGAACCAAGCGGCCCUGGGGUGGAAAUGAGGCCCAGGGUCCCUGACCCCGCAUGGGGCAGGAAUGGGCCAGGCCAAGCCCAUUGAGCCAUCCUCCCCACCCGCACACGCGGGGGCCCCAGGCCUGGACCCCACAUCUGGAGCCGACACCCCGACCCAGCUCACCAGUGACCCUCACUCAGGAGUGACUGAGCUGGCAGGUGUGCAGGUGACAGGAUGAGGACGCAGCCCAGGAGUGGCUGUGAAGGGGCUGGAAGGAAGCUUUUGCCCAGAGGCUUGGCCUGCAGGCCCCACAGUCACCCUGGAAGCUGGUGGGCUGCCGAUGCAAUGGGACAGUGGCCACCGAGGAUACUCAACCAAGCGGGCAGGCUGUGUGCCAGUGAAGCUGUAUUUACUGUCGCUGAGGUGUGAAUGUCAUAUAUUUUUCAAGUGCCACAAAAGAUUGUUCUUUUUUUCCCCAACGAUUACAAAGUGUAAAAACCGUUCCUUGCUCCACCCGUAGGGGCUGCAUUUGGCCUGUAGCUUGCGGAACUCCACCUUAAACAAGGAAAUUAGCUUCUUUCUCUGGGGCCUUAUCAGAGCCUUUAAUACGUGAUGAAGCUCCAGGAAAGUGCAGGCUGCAGCAUUUCCCAAACUUACCUACUCAUGGAACCCGCUUUCCUCCCAGUUCCCAUCAUGUUCUUGGAGUGUUGUGUGAAGCAGUUUGAGAAAAAGGUCCCCUAGGGCAGCAGUCCCCAACCUUUUUGGCACCAGGGACCAGUUUUGUGGAAGACAGUUCUUCCAUGGACUGAUGGGAGUGGGGAAGGUUUCAGGAUUAAGCUGUCCCAUCUCAGAUGUCAGCCACUUAAGGAGUGCACACCCACCCAGGCCCCUCGCUGGCGCAGUGACAAUAGGGGUCCCUAGGAGAAUCUGAUCUGAUCUGAAGGGAGGCAGAGCCAGGCAGGAGUGGGCUCGCCUCUUCCUGGGCGGCCACUUCCUAACAGGCCAGGGACCCGGAUGGUGGGUAGAGGGGGGGGUGUUGGGGACACUUUCCCUAGUGUUCUAAAGAUGGAGCUUUAGGCACCAGGACAAGGCAAGGCUUUGGGGGAAGGGCAUGGAGCAGGCGCUUCCUGGGAAGACCACCCACUGCUGGGCAUCACAAGGGCUGUGGGGACAGGGGUGCCUCCCAUCCCUCCCAGGACACAGCCUGGCUGGGACCAUGGGACCAAGCUCCCCUAGGUUCCCCCCCACUCCCUGCCUCCUAGAAUAUUCUCCAGAGGCCAAAGUCCCAGUCCUGCAGUGCCUCCAUGCCGGUGGGGUCCGCCCUCAAGGCACAGCAGUCCCUGAAGGCGCUUCAGAGACUCUGUGAACCCCCAGCCCAGUGGCAGUAGCAGCCCGGCCUUACCAUGUCUGAGACGGCGUGACCUUCUUGCACCAGGACUGACACCAUCUGCAGGAAGAAGCUGCCUCAGCCGAGCCGGGAGCAACCCCCACCGGGGCCACACGGUCUCAGGGGUCCAGGCCCAUCACCGACCCCGCCGGCGCUCCCAGGCACCUUGUCCGCCGGGAACUCAACGGCGCCGCCGGCGCACGGGGUCCGGUUCUGGCUCCAGUUGGCUGCGACGUCGAAGUCCGUGUUGGGGACCCAGAGUUUGGAGACCGCCUGGAGCCCGCUCAAACGCGCCCUGCAGGACGCCUGCCUAGAUAGCCUCCCGG
rnacentral:lncRNA from 10 species